rnacentral:rRNA from 1 species
AUGGAUGGCAAACCUCUUGACAACUUCAUCACCGACCAGGAUGGUGCAAUGAGGCAGUCAAUACAGAACAUCUUUCCAACCACCGUGCACCGCUGUUGUCGAUGGCACAUCAUGAAAAAGGCUCAGGAAAAAGUUGGUUGGCCGCUGUGCCGGAAUCCAGGACUCUCUGAUGAUUUCAACAAGUGUGUUGACUUCAGCUUCACUAUAGACGAGUUUGAGCAGAAUUGGGCUGGGUUAAUGAUGAAGUACGAGGCUAUGACACACAACACUUUGAGAAGUUGUACGAAUACAAGUCAACUUGGGUGCCGUGCUACUUCAAACACAGGUUCUUCCCCUUCCAAUAGUCUACACAGCGUAGUGAGGGGUUCAACGCCGUCCUAA